UGGGGGAUAUUGGACAAUGGGGGCAACCCUGAUCCAGCGACGCCGCGUGAGGGAAGAAGGUUUUCGGAUUGUAAACCUCUGUCAACAGGGAAAAUAAUGAUGGUACCUGUGGAGGAAGCCACGGCUAACUACGUGCCAGCAGCCGCGGUAAUACGUAGGUGGCAAGCGUUGUCCGGAAUUACUGGGUGUAAAGGGAGCGUAGGCGGGACGGCAAGUCAGAAGUGAAAAUUAUGGGCUCAACUCAUAACCUGCUUUUGAAACUGUUGUUCUUGAGUGAAGUAGAGGCAAGCGGAAUUCCUAGUGUAGCGGUGAAAUGCGUAGAUAUUAGGAGGAACACCAGUGGCGAAGGCGGCUUGCUGGGCUUUUACUGACGCUGAGGCUCGAAAGCGUGGGGAGCAAACAGG
rnacentral:rRNA from 1 species